GCGAGGGUGGGGGGGGAGCGGGCUAAGGCUCCCCCUCCUGGCCCAGGAGGAACCACAGGGAUGAGGAAGGUUGGGGUGGGAGACCCUGAGGGGCAGGGCAGCUGGCGGUGGGCGCCCAGCGGGACCCGCCCCGGCCCACCCAGGCCCUGGGCCGUUGCUGACACCUAGCGGCCACGCUGUUCACCGGAGCUGCUGGACCUCCCCGGAGCUGAGGGCCGAGCCUGGGCGGGAGUCGGGGUGGCUGGGGUCACUCCCCCCACCAAAAGGCGGGAAAGAGGAAGAGGUUCCUUUCUCCCCCGCCCCACGAAUUCCCCUCCUCUGGCUGGGUGCUGGGAGAGAAGACGGAGUAGCUGGAGACCGUCAAGGUGCUCCCACCUGGGGAGGCCUCCCCUGCAGCCCUUCCCCCCCCCACCAGCCCAUCCCUCAGGACCCUCCUGCUCAGCCCCAACAGCACCCCCGCAGGUGGGAGAGAGAAGGGGGGCUUGUUUCUGUUGGAUGAAGGCCUCCUCCUUCCUGGAUACUUGGUGCCUCGGCCUCCUCACGGAAGUCUGACUCCUUGACCCCCUGCACUAACGCUCACACACACUCACAUCAGGUGUUAGAGGAAAGGAGGGGGACCUCACCUCUCUGAGUCACUCCUGGGCCCCUGGACCCUCACCCUCCCCAAGCUCUGAGCAGUGGGUGACACGGCAGGGUCAGGAGGCACGUAGUGUCCCAGGACGCCUGCCCCAGAGAAAGGGACUCAGGCCCACAACCCACGUAGGGCACCUCCCCCAAGAGGGGCGGCUCAGACCAUCCUCUUGUGCGCAGGGCAGACCCAGGGACCUGGUGGUCACAGAAGGAAGCAGGGGCUGAGGCAAGGGGGCAGUCCCAUCACGCUCACCUUUCAGAAAUGGAAGGAACCCUUACCUUGUCUGAGGUGAUGGUCAUUGUCCUCAUUGUCCAGAUGCUGAAGAUCCUGAUAGUCAUUUGUCAUGGUAGGGCUGGCUGGACCCGGGCCUAGGUCAAGGUUGGGGUUAGGGCUGGGGCUGAACAGAGCCAGGGUGGGAGGUCCAGUCGGUCUCUAAGUGACCACUGGCUACAGGAAGACUUCCUUUCUCCUGUUCCCUGUUCGCUCCCAGGCUUGACAUCCAAACUUUGUCCUCUGAAGUACUCCUGCCUGGCCCCCAGCCCACCCCAUCCCCUGCCUCUGCUUCCCCUUUUACUUGCUGAUGGUCUUGAGGUCAGUUCCUGGAUGCCUCAGUGCUGUGCAGAUCGUAGCCUAAAAAGGAGGCUGAAGCCUGGAGACUUGGGGUGCUCCGAUAGCCCUGGAGGAUGGGAGGGGAGGGUGUAGGGCCCAUAUGAGGGCCCUGAGCGCUGCGCAGCUGCGUGUCUGUGUGUCCGUGUGUCUCAACACUCAGAACCUGGCAUCCCCAGGGCCUGGGACUUUGGACAGUAAAUAGAGGUGAAAAGGGAUUUGGGACUCAGGGGAUGUGUGUGGGGUGGGAGUGGGGGAUGGGUCACCACUGCUUCCCCCCCACCAGGGGGACUCUCCAGGUUUGGCCCCUCCCCCUCGCCCCCCUGCUGGUCACCUCACUCAUCACUGGUAUGGGGAGCCAGGCCAGGACGGGCCUGGGGUGCACCCUGCUGUUUCCUCCUGCCCCUCCCUCCUUUCACUUCCUGCCAUCAAAUUUCCCAGAAUUGUUGGUGUUUCCAAAUAUCCCUGCCCAGGAUCAGGGGGCCCUGUGCUCUGCUCUUGCCCAACCCCGGCUCUGACCCUGGCAUCUGAGCCUGGGCCCCUUCCUGUGGAGGCUCUGCAGCCAGGCUCUCCAGCUUGGGGCUCGCUGGCUUCACUCCCCCAGGGGGCAAAGUCCUCCAAGCAGCCUGGGGUGGUGGGGGGAGAGACAGGAAAGCAAGUCUUUCCCACCCAAGCCGGGACUGGUGCCAGCAGGCUCCCAUCGGCUCCCGCUGUGUGUCUGGACUUGUCAUCCAUGAACUCCAGAGGCCGAUGAGGAAACCGGCCCCCCAGGCAAGUCGUUCCCCAGGGUUAUAACAGGCAAGGAAGCAGCAGAGAGAGGACUGGACUGUAAUCCUCCUGGCCCCAGGACCAGAACGAAGAACCACACCCAGAACCAGGGAUCCCAUACCACCACCAUGGCGGGGCCCUGGGGUCCCCAAGAUGCUGACGCACAGACCCUCACAGUCCCACGGGGGAUUCUGGCAGGAGUGUAUGCAUUCAAAUCCUGCCAAGUUAGAAAUCGGGCAAUCCUAAAGAUGUUCACUCGUCCCAAAUGCCAAGUCAUGCAAACCCUACGUUACAGUAAUUUAUUUCAAUGACAGAACGAGACUUUAUCAUGAGAGUUCUAUAUGUCAUGAGACCUUCUGGAACACAGUCCUUGCACGACACGUGAAAGGCCCGGGCGCACCCCCAUCGUCUGUGUCCUGAAAAGCCCCCUGUUUUGUGUACGCACUGGGACUGUGGCCAGUCCUUUUGGGGACUUUUGGACUGUUGGUUUAGCAUUCCCUUAUAUCAUCACUCACAAUCUGGUUUAUUCGGGCAAAUAAACCUGUGCUGCUUUGGGCCCAAUAGUGGUUUACUCUUGCAGACACAGUGACUUGGGAGGCAGCACAAGAAGGCUUCUGGGGAACAGAAAUGUGCACAUCUUGAUCCGGAUGCCAGUUGCAUGGACAUGCUCCAAACUGCAGAAAACCACACGCUCAGGAUUUCUGCAUUCCUCCGUUUGCAUGUUAUAUACUGAAAUAUGAUGUUUCUGAAAUCUGUUUUCUUAUCCAUAACUGCGUUCCCCAAACCCACUGAUUAGGGAACAGGAAGUGGAGCUGUGCUGAAAAAUGCUCUCCAAAGCCAGUAGCUUUAGAGUGAGAGCCCUCGGUGAUAAAACAAUGUGAAGAAAGCCAGACGAACCACAUGAUACACUGACCAAUCGGGGCACUAACUUAUAAGCAAGCCUCUUGCAAAAUACCAAAGACAGUCCUAAGAAAUGAAAAAGUAGCCAAAAAGGAAACUAUGCCCCAAUGAUGGUGUGUUUAUGCUGAGAACUCACCCACCUCUUACACUUAUUCCUUUGAUAAUAUGUAUCUUAGGGCGCCUGGCCGGUAGAGUGUAAGACUUGAUCUCAGCAUCGUGGGUUCAAGCCCCUGUUGGGCAUGGAGCCUACUUUCAUAUAGGUGCUGAGCUGGGUGCUGAGCUCCCUUGGGUUUGCCCACUCCCUCUCAGAGGGCUUUCAAACUCAAGCUUGGGAUUGACCUCGCCUGGCCCUUCGUCAGAGGGGGCACUGCAUGCCAGCCCGGAGUCACCGCCAAGGUCAGGUGUACGUUUAGAAAAAAAAAUUCAAACGCCACGUUUCCAGGUUUUAUUUAACUAAAGAACAGACCGGGCGGCAAUGGCACUGGUGGUGACCACCUGCUGGCGGGCGCAGGGCUGUGCGCAGCGGCCUUGCGUGCGCCACGACCAGCGAGCAUCACCGGCUUCUUCCCACGUUGCCCUUCCUCUGUCCAUCUGCCCUUCCUCUGUCCAUCCGGCACGCCGGACGCCCCAGGCUUUGGCGCCCUGCAGGCCUCAAGCCCAGCGCUGCUCCGAGAAGACGCCUCCCUAGCGACCCGUCUGACCCAGCUAAGGCGCUUUCCCUUUCCCUGCGCUGCGCUGCCAUCAUCCUUUCCCUGACCCGACCCGCGUCCCUUCACUUCCUGGGCUCUGCACUCCCCACUGCAAGGACCCCAGGGCCCCCUGGGGGGCCGGGAUGUUGCACUCCCAGCAUUUCAAACACUGCUUGGCACCAAGGAAGAGCCAAAUGAGUAUUUGUUGAAAGAAAUGGCCGGGAGUGAAGAGGAGGCAGGGUUUGAACCCCAGUCGGCCUGGGAAUCCAGUGCGCCUAACCACUCAAACAUUCAGUCUCCGAACCCGGCCAGGGAAGAGCUCUUUAUAGAUUUGGAAGAACAUACCACAAACUGCCAAAGCGCUUCCCUCUGAGGAGUGUGUGGAAUGAGAUGGGGAGGGAAUUUUUUUUAAACCAUAUGUAUUUCUAUAUUUAUUUGAAUUUUUAUAAGGUACAUCUAUUACUUUCAUAAUCUAAAAAGUGAUGCAUGCAGAAUGAGGUGACUCUGCCCCUUCUCAGUGAACUCUCCUUAACCCCUUCGAUCCAGGCACGUUACCUGCACACACCUUCCUCAGCUCACAGAUUCCUCCCUCUGGCCGAUGGCAGAAAACACCAGCAUAGCCUCAAACCAUCUGCUCCUACGCAGAACCAAGCUAAAAGAAGGAUUAUGUGGGGGGGGGAAAAAGCCAUCCUUGGAAGCAGUGCUUCUGCACCCAGCAAGACAUCAGAGUCACCUUGGAGGUUUCCCGAAAUGUAGACCCCCCAGGAUUCAGUUGGCUGGGUUCUUUUGUCUAGAGCCUGCACAGAAGUUUGUAGGGACAAUCCAAAGAGGACCGCUGGUUUAAGUGACACGCGGCUAGAGAUCUGUACCCGCUUAGGUUGGGCCAAUCCCACCCUCCCCAGAACUGCUGCUCCGUGGGGGCAGUGGAGGGAAUCUUUUGCAUUCAACUCUCUGUUAACCUGGGGCAACAGAAACUGCCCUUCUGCACUGUUUGGGGCUUAACCAUCUCAAGUCUGUACCCUCCACCUCAGCCUCCCCCCCCCACACACCUUGGGGCCCCUAAAUCAGAGGAAGAAUGGGGUAGUGCCAGCAAUGGCUCAUUGAUUGCUGCAGCUGAGGCCUUUCUGGCGGAAGGGAGCCUGUCAAGUGCACGAACAGUGGCAGAAGAAAAGCCAAGAACCAAUAUUCUACAUAACAGCAUCUGAGAAGCAUCAGCAAGGCUUGGGGUCAGGAAAAUCUGACUCCCUGAAAGAACCAGAGUUUUUUGAUCUCCUUUCUAACAAUGAACUACAUGAUGGGCUGCUUCCCUUUUUGCCCUGUCUACCAGGAGGCUCAGAGAUCCUAUUUCCCCUUCUAGCUACUGCAGAUGUUUUUGCCUUUUUUUUUUUUUUAAUAUAUCGAGGUUCCAUUUUCCUACCCUGGUUAGUGGCAAAGCUGCUUUGAAUCUCUCUAUAGAGAUGGGGUAUAAAGGAAUCCCACAAAAAAAUAUUUCCACAGCAUUUCUUUUUUUUUUUUUUUUUUUUUUUUUUUUCCACAGCAUUUCUUACCAGCAAAUCUCUGUAAACAUCACUGCCAGAGCCCAGCUCUGUCCGCAAGUCUAUGAACCUGAACCGAGAGUUUCCUCUCUAUUUUCCCUUAGGGAGUGUCAUGCUGCCCAACAGGACCCAGGCGGCCCAGAGGAGUGAUCAGGGCUGGGCUAAGUUUGUAGGGACAUAUGCCAGUCCAGCCUCUUUCCAGGUCUGUCAGUGACUUUGGACGACGGCGUGUCCAGCUCAUCCCAGGCCCACACUUCACUACCAACUUGGAGUCCCUGGUUUCAGGGUCCUUCCAAGACCCCCUGUAAGCCAUCCUCCCCUCUCUGGGCUGGUGUGAAGAAGGAUCUGACUACAAGAGUCAUCCCUACACUCCCACCCUGUCUCCCUCUAUACCCAGGUCCCAAAUAACCAGGCCACACACCAGGUUUCAAGUAUCUGUCUCUUCCUUUCACUCUCUCAAAAGAAAAAAAUAAAUAAAUUGCAGAAGG